CUUCUGUGAUGAUACGAUGACGAGUCAGAAAUGGACACGGUCUUGCUCAGAGUGACCGGCUCGAGACCACGUUCUGUGGAACUGGGUUCGUGCGCUCUGGCAAGCGUGUCCUCUUCAUUGGAUGAUUUAGAGGCAUUUGUCUGAGAAGG